rnacentral:rRNA from 1 species
UGGCGAACGGGUGAGUAACACAUGGGCGAUCUGCCCUGCACUUCGGGAUAAGCUUGGGAAACUGGGUCUAAUACCGGAUAGGAGCCAUCUUUAGUGUGGUGGUUGGAAAGUUUUUUCGGUGUAGGAUGAGCUCGCGGCCUAUCAGCUUGUUGGUGGGGUAAUGGCCUACCAAGGCGGCGACGGGUAGCCGGCCUGAGAGGGUGUACGGCCACAUUGGGACUGAGAUACGGCCCAG